ensembl:lncRNA
GUCAGGGUGGUAGAGUGGUAUAGUGUCAGGGUGGUAGAGUGGUAUAGUGUCAGGGUGGUAGAGUGGUAUAGUGUCAGGGUGGUAGAGUGGUAUAGUGUCAGGGUGGUAGAGUGUCAGGGUGGUAGAGUGGUAUAGUGUCAGGGUGGUAGAGUGGUAUAGUGUCAGGGUGGUAGAGUGGUAGUGUCAGGAUGGUAUAGUGUCAGGGUGGUAGAGUGUCAGGGUGGUAGAGUGGUAUAGUGUCAGGGUGGUAGAGUGGUAGAGUGUCAGGGUGGUAGAGUGUCAGGGUGGUAGCGUGUCAGGGUGGUAGAGUGUCAGGGUGGUAGAGUGCCAGGGUGGUACAGUGGUACGAUGACUAUCAUACCCUGUAGCAUGAAGCAAUAUAUUCACACUAUCAUAACCUGUAGAAUGAAGCAAUAUAUUCACACUAUCAUACCCUGUAGAAUGAAGCAACAGUCGUAUGGACAGAACUUAGUUGACAG